CAGUCGAACGGAGUGAAGGAGCUUGCUCUUUCAUUUAGUGGCGCACGGGUGAGUAACGCGUAGAUAAUCUGCCUUAGACUCUGGGAUAACAUCUCGAAAGGGGUGCUAAUACCGGAUAAGCCCACGAUGGCGUAAGUCAUUGCGGGAAAAGGGGGCCUCUGAAUAUGCUCUUGAUCUAAGAUGAGUCUGCGUACCAUUAGCUAGUUGGUAGGGUAAGAGCCUACCAAGGCGACGAUGGUUAGCUGGUCUGAGAGGAUGAUCAGCCACACUGGAACUGAGACACGGUCCAGACUCCUACGGGAGGCAGCAGUGGGGAAUUUUGCGCAAUGGGGGAAACCCUGACGCAGCAACGCCGCGUGAGUGAUGAAGGCUUUCGGGUCGUAAAGCUCUGUCUAGAGGGAAGAAAUGAUAAUCGGUUAAUACCCGGUUUUCUUGACGGUACCUCUGAAGGAAGCACCGGCUAACUCCGUGCCAGCAGCCGCGGUAAUACGGAGGGUGCAAGCGUUGUUCGGAUUUAUUGGGCGUAAAGCGCGUGUAGGCGGUUUGUUAAGUCUGAUGUGAAAGCCCUGGGCUCAACCUGGGAAGUGCAUUGGAAACUGGCAGACUUGAAUACGGGAGAGGGUAGUGGAAUUCCUAGUGUAGGAGUGAAAUCCGUAGAUAUUAGGAGGAACACCGGUGGCGAAGGCGGCUACCUGGACCGAUAUUGACGCUGAGACGCGAAAGCGUGGGGAGCAAACAGGAUUAGAUACCCUGGUAGUCCACGCCGUAAACGAUGAGUACUAGGUGUCGCGGGUAUUGACCCCUGCAGUGCCGCAGCUAACGCAUUAAGUACUCCGCCUGGGAAGUACGGUCG
rnacentral:rRNA from 1 species